AUUGAACGCUGGCGGCAGGCUUAACACAUGCAAGUCCAGCGAGCGGCGGACGGGUGAGUAAUGUCUGGGAAACUGCAUGAGGGAGGGGGAUGAUGGCUGGACACGGUAGCUAAUAACCCACAGCAUAUGAUGUGCCCAGAUGGGAUGAGCUAGUGGGUGGGGUAAAGGCUCACCUAGGCGACGGUCCCUAGCUGGUCUGAGAGGAUGACCAGCCACACUGGAACUGAGACACGGUCCAGACUCCUACGGGAGGCAGCAGUGGGGAAUAUGGCACAAUGGGCGCAAGCCUGAUGCAGCCAUGCCGCGUGUGUGAAGAAGGCCUUCGGGUUGUAAAGCACUUUCAGCGAGGAGGCGUUACUCGCAGAAGAAGCACCGGCUAACUCCGUGCCAGCAGCCGCGGUAAUUC
rnacentral:rRNA from 1 species